rnacentral:rRNA from 1 species
GACGAACGCUGGCGGCGUGCUUAACACAUGCAAGUCGAACGGAAAGGCCCUGCUUUUGUGGGGUGCUCGAGUGGCGAACGGGUGAGUAACACGUGAGUAACCUGCCCUUGACUUUGGGAUAACUUCAGGAAACUGGGGCUAAUACCGGAUAGGAGCUCCUGCUGCAUGGUGGGGGUUGGAAAGUUUCGGCGGUUGGGGAUGGACUCGCGGCUUAUCAGCUUGUUGGUGGGGUAGUGGCUUACCAAGGCUUUGACGGGUAGCCGGCCUGAGAGGGUGACCGGCCACAUUGGGAGUGAGAUACGGCCGAGACUCCUACGGGAGGCAGCAGUGGGGAAUAUUGCACAAUGGGCGGAAGCCUGAUGCAGCAACGCCGCGUGCGGGAUGAAGGCCUUCGGGUUGUAAACCGCUUUCGCCUGUGACGAAGCGUGAGUGACGGUAAUGGGUAAAGAAGCACCGGCUAACUACGU